CGGGCAAAGAGGUCAGCCGCGGUGCUGUCGAGGGCGAGCGAAGGUGGCCUCGAGUCCUCGACCCUCGAGUAGAGAUCAGCGGCAAUGGCUUCGAGGGAGACCGGCGGUGGCGUCGAGACUCGAGGGCGACCGGCGGUGGCGUCGAGCAGAGAUGGAGAACGGACGGGCGAAGAGGUCAGCCGCGGUGCUGUCAAGGCGAGCGAAGGUGGCCUCGAGUCCUCGACCCUCGAGCAGAGAUCAGCGGGCCAGCGGCAGUGGCGUCAAGGGAGACCGGCGAUGGCGUCAAGACUCGAGGGCGACCGGCGGUGGCGUCGAGCAGAGAUGGAGAACGGACGGGCAAAGAGAGAACUCAGUGAAAACUAAAAGUGUCGUGUGUGUGGACUCUGUGGAAGAAGCGAGAGAAUAUUUG
rnacentral:lncRNA from 1 species